rnacentral:lncRNA from 1 species
AGCCUUGUCUCUUCUGAUGAAAUACCAGUGCCCACAAACAGAAGGUUCCCCUUCUCUCACCCAUGAAUAAACAGGAAGGUCUCUUGGAGCUGUGGUCUUGGGGCUGUAGCCCUGCCCCUAAUUUCCUCAGACCCUUUACUGAGAACUGAGUCAUUGCAACAUCAUGCUCAGCCAGCUGUCUCAGCACAAGAAAAAGCUUUGCUGUGGUAUGAGGUUUUGUGGGCUGCAGACUACAUCUAGGUCAGCAAAUUAAACUCCAUAGUGUGGUUACCAAUUCCAGCUUCAUCUAGCUUAAGGGCUGUCUGAUUUCACCCUCUGGGCAUUGGCUCUUCUGGUGUUUGGGAUAUAAGGCCCCUCUGUGGGUGUUUAAGGCACAAUAUUUCAGGCCUAAACCACCGAAUGACACAUGCCUAAACCCAGAAUCCUGUAUUCUCCACCAGGACUCCAGGGUAUGUGAGGGUAACAAUAGUCCAACCCUGCAGAUAAUGAGAUUUGUGUGUGUGUUAGAACAAAGGGGAAAGGUGGGGAUGUAUUUCUUUGAUGCUCAGUUUCAUCUACCACUUGUAUUUCUCUCCUGCCCUUCUUUGACCCUAACAUGAUCCAAACCCUUCUUUCUUGCUUCUCUUUUAUGGAAGUUUUGAAGAAUGGAUGGUUACAUAACAGAUGGCCAGCUGGUCUACCUAGAAGGGCCUUACAAAGGACAGUGCCUCCGUGGGGAAGGCUCACCCUGGAUCAGACGCCGGAUUGCAGAUUUACCAUGAAUGAAGCCCUUGGAGACUGAAUCAUGUUAAAAAUUCAAAAACAACUCAGUAAAUAUUUAUUUGAAGUCCUGCUGUUCUUCAAGGCCCUGGAAUGCAGAUAUGAGAAGAGUCACUGCUGCCCAAGAGCUGACUGACUGUGGAGGAAGACCAUGCUAGCAGGUGGCUACGUUUUCUACCACCUAGCACCUGCUCCCCCUUCUCCUGGUAAUGGUAUCUGCAAAUAAUCUCCUCAGUCUGUGUGCUUUCAGUGGAACUGAAUCUACCCCUGGUUCAAGAGCUCAGGUACAGCCUCUGGCCUGGCUGCAGUGAUUAGUUUAGAGAUGGACUUGUAACCUCAUCAAAGCCCGAUAUUGUUCAGGGUAACAUACUAGAUAUAUUUUGCUAGGAUUGCCAAUAAUCAUUUAUUUAAGCUCCUUAGAUGAGGUUUCCUGUCAUUUGCAACUGAAAAAGCUCUGUGUAGCAGGUUGAAUAGUGUUCACCCCCUGCCCAAAAAAUACACUCACAUCCACCCAGAACUUUGGAACUUUAGAAUAUGAUCUUAUUUAUUUAUUUAUUUAUUUGAGACAGAGACUCACUCUGUCGCCAGGCUAGAGUGCAGUGGCAUGAUCUCAGCUCACUGCAACCUCAGCCUCCCAAGAAGCUGGGACUACAGGUAUGUGCCACCACGCCCAGCUAAUUUUUGUAUUUUUAGUAGAGACGGGGUUUCACCAUGUUGGCCAGGAUGGUCUAUCUCUUGACCUCAUGAUCUGCCCACCUCAACCUCCCAAAGUGCUGGGAUUACAGGUGUGAGCGACGGUGCCUGGCCUGAUCUUAUUUUUAAAAGAGCCUUUACAGAUGUAAUUAGUUAAGGAUCUUGAGAUGCAAUCAUUAUGGAUGUAAAUUUAGGUGGGCCCUAAAUCUAACAAUUGGUGUCCUUAUAUGAUGAGGAGAUAUCACAGACGCAAAGACACAGGGCAUAUGACCAUGUGAAGAGGAAGGCAGAGGGUAGGGCGAUGCUGCCGUAAGACAAGGAUGCCUGGGCCACCAGAGGCUAGGAAGGGGCAAGGAAGGCCCUCCCCCUUAGAGCCUUCAGGGGGAGCAUAGCUCUCCUGACACUUUGAUUUCCAACUUCUAGCCUCCAGAAUGGUGAGAGAGAAUUUUCCACUGUUUUUAAGCCAACCAGCUUGUGACACUUGGUUAAUGGCAGCCCUAGGAAACAAGUGCACUCUAACAUGUGAAAUCACUCAACAGAUAUUUAUUGGUUCCUAAUAAUGUGUCUGAAAAGGACUUAGUAUAAAAUCCAAAGAAGAGGGACAUGGAGGCUGUAGAGAGGUAUUAGAGCUGGGACAUUAGGAAGCCUAAAGAACCAUCUGUCCCACUGUCCUGCACCCCGAUGGGUGCCUCUGGAAGGGCCUGGAGAAACCAUGGAAUUUAUGUUCUUUGGGCUCCCUUUUUGUCGGGUUAAGACAGGGACUCACUCUGUCAGCCAGGCUGGAGUGCAGUGGCGCAAUCACGGCUCACUGCAGCCUCAAUCUGCCAGGCUUAAGCAAUCCUCCCAUCUCAGCCUCCCAACUAGCUGGGACUAUAGGUGCAUGCCACCACGCCCAGCUAAUUUUUGUAUUUUUGUAGAGAUAAGGUUUCAUCAUGUUGCCCAGGCUGGUCUUGAACUCCUGGGCUCAAGCCAUCCGCCCACCUCGGCCCCUCGCAGGGCUCGGAUUCCAGGCAUGAAUCCCCCCGCCCAGCCUCCCUGGGCUUUUUGCAGGUCAUUCUCCUAAUUUAUGGAUGUCCUUCCUCAGUAAGGACAUGAGCUCUGCUUGAUAUAAAUUGAAAAUAUUCGGCCGGGCACGAUGGCUCAUGCCUGUAAUCCCAGCACUUUGUGAGGCCAAGGCGGGCGAAUCACGAGGUCAGGAGUUCAAGACCAGCCUGACCAAUAUGGUGAAACCCCGUCUCUACUAAAAAUACAAAAAUUAGCCGGGCGUGGUGGUGCAUGCCUGUAAUCCCAGCUACUCGGGAGGCUGAGGAAGGAGAAUCACUUGAACCUGGGAGGCAGAGGUUGCAGUGAGCCCAG